GUGGUCCUUCGCGCUAAGAUGAACUUCCAUCUUUGCUCACAGUUGACUAGAUGGAGCUGUUCCAGUUUGAACUGUGGUACUGAGAUCUUGUUACCGAACACUGUCAUUGACAGAGAAAGCAGCGACGACUGGUGUCAGUAUGAGGAAAUAUCAACUCGGCAGGUUCCCAACAACGCUCCAUUUCUACUGAUGUAAGUACAAACUAGCUGAAGGUCAACAGUGUCUUUUUAAAUCGAACAAGCACAAAUAUUUAACAUUUAUUUAUCACAUUUUUUUUACAUUAGUAUGAUUAGGAGAUUUGCAAAUUGUAUCACCACUGUUAACUUACAAUGCAAGUUUUCCACACACACCAACAGUAGGGAAAAAACUCUAGGACACUAACACUGUAAAUGAUUUUUGACACGAAAUUUCAUUGAAGGUUGAGCGGUGGUUCAUGGGUAGGGAAUAAUAAUGGCAUCACUAAUUGGCGAGCUAUUACAGUGGUUGAUGUGAGAAACAGAUCUGACACCAACAAAGCCAACUCAUCACCACAGACCACCAUCCUGCCUCUUCUCAGGUGAGCAUCCAGAAAUGUGCUGAGGUUGAAGCUGAAACAUGUUGGUCAGCGCUGUCUUAACGUAAACUUAACCCCCCCUUCCUUCCAGAGUUCCUUCAAACUGUCAAAGAGACUUUAACCUCUUGGCCUUUGACUCUGAUGGAGAUAAUGUAAGAUGCAGAUAUGGAGAUGCAUCACUGUCAGAGUGUUACACCUGCACUCAACCACCUGUUCUCAACCUCUCAGCAUCCUGUACGUUGUCAUUCAGCCCAACAAGCAGCAGUAAUGAAGGAGCGUAUGUUGUUCAGAUGGUGAUGGAGGACUUUCCAAAGCAGAAUAUCACCCUGACUCAAACUAAUGGUUCACAGGAGGUGAAAAGCAACAAUGAUGCCGUCAGCAAGAUUCCAGUCCAGUUUGUUGUAAGCGUGGAUCCUGUGGUGCCGUCCUGCACAGAGGGACUUUAUUUGCCCAAGUUCCUGCCUCCAACCCCAGAUAAUGGGGCUCAUCUGUACACGCUGGUCAAUCAGUCCCUGACAAUUGCCAUCAAGGCCGAGACUCUUAAUGCUACGAUGUCGGAGCUGCUGUACAGUGGGCCGUCCAGCAUUAACCAGACCACGUCAGGUCCAGGACACUACAUCAUGACGUGGACUCCAUCUCAACGCGAGGAUGGAGAAAGUCACCCCAUCUGCUUUGUCGUCCAGGCUACAUACAAUGGAGUGAAGUAUCACUCAGAGCUUCGAUGCGUCGUCGUUGCUGUAAAAGCACCUCCACUAUUCAGACAUAAAGUUGUUGUAGCCCUGAAAAUAAAGGUCUCCCCCUCAUCUCCAGUGUCUGAGGAAGACAUCAGGAUUAGCAUCAUCCAAAAGGUGGGUCUCUUCUCAACUAGAGAUAAGCCCCCUCCCAAAAAAAAGAUUUGUUUUGGUGAAAGUUUAAAGGAAAACUUCAUCAAUUUUGAAUGGGAGUUGACCCAAACAAUACAUAUUUAAGAAUAAGGGGAUCAGAUUCCUGCAUAUUUUCUAUGCAGAGAAAUGAUCAUUUAUUCCUCUGCAAAAGUCCUCUGAAACAUUUCAGAGGACUUUUUGCCACGCGCUCACAGACUACAACUAGUGCUUCCUGUUUUUUUCUGAACCUGCCCCAGCAACAGUUGGGCUGAGAGGGGGCGGAGCUAAACGACAGGUAGGUCCAAUCACUGCAGCUCAGGAGAGUUGUCAGAGUGCAAUGCAUUCUGAGUGUUGUUGUGACAUUCAGCCUCCGCGCCGCUAGAGGCGCUCCUAGGGCUUUGGUGGGGGUCUGUUUUGAGUUUUCAUUUCCUGUGUAAUUAGUUGACCCACCUGUUUUGGUUGUAUUUAAGGGAUGUCUUUUGUUUCCCACACUUGUUGGUGUGUACGAGGUUGUAGCCAGUGAGCUACACUAUGUUACCGGUUAAAGAGAGGAGAGCUAAGAAGUGGAGUUCUUUUGUUUGUUUGACGUCCUGUCUCACCACUUAAGGUUUGAGUGUCUUGUGUCAGUGUGUAGGAUUUUUAGUUGUCCUGUGUUAGGUAUUGUGUACAUGUUUAGGUGUAGCCCAUAGUGAAUGGAGCGUGUUCGUGUCCUUAGUAGACGUUACUGUACCUGCACUGCAGUGAUUUUUAGUUUCCUUCAGUUGUGUUUGAACUACAUCGUGCUGUGCAGUGAGUUUUUGUUGUAUUUGAAUAAACCUUUAAUGCUAAUUAUAGCUUCUGUGUUU
ensembl:lncRNA uncharacterized LOC114851421